GGGUUGUGAGGUUAAGCGACUAAGCGUACACGGUGGAUGCCCUGGCAGUCAGAGGCGAUGAAGGACGUGCUAAUCUGCGAUAAGCGUCGGUAAGGUGAUAUGAACCGUUAUAACCGGCGAUUUCCGAAUGGGGAAACCCAGUGUGUUUCGACACACUAUCAUUAACUGAAUCCAUAGGUUAAUGAGGCGAACCGGGGGAACUGAAACAUCUAAGUACCCCGAGGAAAAGAAAUCAACCGAGAUUCCCCCAGUAGCGGCGAGCGAACGGGGAGCAGCCCAGAGCCUGAAUCAGUGUGUGUGUUAGUGGAAGCGUCUGGAAAGGCGCGCGAUACAGGGUGACAGCCCCGUACACAAAAAUGCACAUACUGUGAGCUCGAUGAGUAGGGCGGGACACGUGGUAUCCUGUCUGAAUAUGGGGGGACCAUCCUCCAAGGCUAAAUACUCCUGACUGACCGAUAGUGAACCAGUACCGUGAGGGAAAGGCGAAAAGAACCCCGGCGAGGGGAGUGAAAAAGAACCUGAAACCGUGUACGUACAAGCAGUGGGAGCACGCUUCGGCGUGUGACUGCGUACCUUUUGUAUAAUGGGUCAGCGACUUAUAUUCUGUAGCAAGGUUAACCGAAUAGGGGAGCCGAAGGGAAACCGAGUCUUAACUGGGCGUUAAGUUGCAGGGUAUAGACCCGAAACCCGGUGAUCUAGCCAUGGGCAGGUUGAAGGUUGGGUAACACUAACUGGAGGACCGAACCGACUAAUGUUGAAAAAUUAGCGGAUGACUUGUGGCUGGGGGUGAAAGGCCAAUCAAACCGGGAGAUAGCUGGUUCUCCCCGAAAGCUAUU
rnacentral:rRNA from 1 species